ensembl:lncRNA
AAUAAUUCCAUUUAUUGGUCUCAAACAUUCUUUUAAAAUGUCAAAGAAAAAGAGGUUCAGGGUAUUCAUGAUCUUCCAUUUUCCUCUCCUCUUCCAUUCCAUUCUCUCCAGUCUGUUCCAGGUUCUGUCUUUCUAGCUUUGUGCCAACACAACUUCUUCCAGUUCCUUGGCCUCAUAAAUAAAUCUUGAUCCCUGGCAGUAAAAGUUCUUCAGCUUGGUUAUUCUUCUUUGCGAUUGGCCCAGCUACUCUUUUUUUUUUUCUUUUUUUAAUUUUGUGAUAAAACAUAAAAUUUCCAUUUUAUUUUAUUUUGCUUUUUAGGGUCACAUCUGCAGCAUAUGGAGUGGCCCAAAGAAAUAGCAAAAAAAAAAAAAAAAAGAAAAGAAAAAAAGAAGUUCCUUUUAGCAAAAGACACUGGAGUAUUAGAAGCAAAGAAUAUUGCUUACUAGCAGCAAUAUUGAGGUUUUGAGAUGAAGGAUAUAUUUAAGGAUCAAAACACAAGUUUUUUUGAGUCAGAAAACUAAAAGCAGAACUACCAUAUGACCCAGCAGAACUACCAUAUGACCCAGCAUUUCCACUGCUGGGUAGAUAUCCAAAAGAAAUGAAAACUCUAAUUCAAAAAAGAUGCAUGCACUUCUAUGUUCAUAGCAGCACUACUUGCAAUAGCCAAGAUAUGGAAGCAACCUAAGUGUCCAUCAGCAGAUGAGUGGAUUAAGAAGAUGUGAUACAUAUACACAAUGGAACACUACUCAGCUAUAAAAAAGAAGGAAAUUUUGCCAUUUGCAACAACACAGAUGGACUUAGAGGGUGUUCGGCUAAGUGAAAUAAGCCAGAGUCACAGACAGAGAAAGACAAAUACUGUAUGAUACCACUUAUAUGCGGAAUCUAAAAAAUAUAACAAACUGGGAGUUCCCAUUGUGUUGUAGCAGAAACGAGUCCAACUAGGAACCAUGAGGUUGCAGGUUCAAUCCCUGGCCUCGCUCCACAGGUUAAGGAUCCAGCGUUGCCAUGAGGUGUGGUGUAGGCUGCAGACGUGGCUUGGAUCCUGUAUUGCUGUGGCUGUGGUGUAGGCUGGCAGCUACAGCUCCGAUUCGACCCCUAGCCUGGGAACCUCCAUAUGCCUCAGGUGUGGUCCUAAAAAGACCAAAAAAAAAACAAUAAUAAUAAUAAUAACAAUCUAGCAAAUGUAACAAAAACAGAAACAGACUUAUAGAGAACAAAUUAGCGGUUGCCAGUGGGGAGAGGGAAGGAGGAGGGGUGAAAUAGGGGGAGGGGAGUAAGAGGUACAAACUACUAUGUAUAAAAUAAGCUACAAAGAUAUAUUGUACAACACAGGGACUAUAGCCAAUAUUCUGUACUAACUAUAAAUGGAGUAUAACCUUUAAAAAUUGUGACUCACCAUAUUACACACUUGUAACUUACAUAAUAUUGUACAUCAACUAUAUUUCAAUUUAAAAAAAAGAAAACGUUCCCAAUGUGGUGCGGUGGGUUCAUGAUUUGGCUUGUCUCUGUUGAGGUGCCUGUUCGAUCCCCUCCCCAGUGAAAUGGGUUAAGAAGAUCUGGUAUUGCCAUGGUGUAGGUCGCAGCUCCUGCUUGGAUUUGACCCCUGGCCUGGGAACAUAUGCCGGGGGACGCAGGAGGUCCCGAAAAAGAAAAAAAGAGAAAAGAAUAAAGACUGGGGGGACUUCCUAUCAUGGCUGAGUGGUUAACAAAUCCGACUAGGAACCAUGAGGUUGAGGGUUCGGUCCCUGGCCUUGCUCAGUGGGUUAAGGAUCCAGCAUUGCCAUAAGCUGUGGUGUAGGUUUCAGACAUGGCUUGGAUCCCGCGUUGCUGUGGCUCUGGCGUAGGCUGGCAGCUACAGCUCUGAUUCAACCGCUAGCCUGGGAAUCUCCAUGUGCCAUGGGAGAGGCCCAAGAAAUGGCAAAAAGACAAAUAAAUAAAAAUAAAUAAAUAAAUAAAAAUAAAGUAAUAGUAGUUACUUUUUGAGAACCUACUGUAUAGCUCAGAGAUCUGUAUUCAAUAUCUUGUAAUGACCUACGAUAGGAAAGAAUCUGAAAAAGAAUAGCUAUAUGUAUAUGUGUAUAAGCGAACCAGUUUGCUGUACACCUGAGACUAAUGCAAUACAGUAAAUCAGCUGCACCUCUAUUUAAAAAAAGCAGGGAGUUCCAGUCGUGUUGCAGCAGAAACGAGUCCAACUAGGAACCAUGAGGGUGAGGGUUCAAUCCCUGGCCUCGAUCAGUGGGUUAAGGAUCCGGUGUUGCCAUGAGCCGUGGUGUGGGUCGCAGAUGUGGCUCGGAUCUGGCAUUGCUGUGGCUCUGGAAAAGGCCAGUGGCUACAGCUCUGAUUAGACCCCUAGCGUGGGAACUUCCAUAGGCUAUGGAUGUGGCCCUAGAAAAGACAAAAAAAAAAAAAAAAAA